rnacentral:piRNA from 1 species
GGAAAGAUUGGAUUAGACUUCUGCAA